AAACCAGACUCCUACGGGAGGCAGCAGUGGGGAAUAUUGCACAAUGGGGGAAACCCUGAUGCAGCGACGCCGCGUGAGUGAAGAAGUAUUUCGGUAUGUAAAGCUCUAUCAGCAGGGAAGAAAAUGACGGUACCUGAUUAAGAAGCCCCGGCUAACUACGUGCCAGCAGCCGCGGUAAUACGUAGGGGGCAAGCGUUAUCCGGAUUUACUGGGUGUAAAGGGUGCGUAGGUGGCAGGGCAAGUCAGAUGUGAAAGCCCGGGGCCCAACCCCGGUACUGCAUUUGAAACUGUCCGGCUUGAGUGCAGGAGAGGUAAGCGGAAUUCCUAGUGUAGCGGUGAAAUGCGUAGAUAUUAGGAGGAACACCAGUGGCGAAGGCGGCUUACUGGACUGUAACUGACACUGAGGCACGAAAGCGUGGGGAGCAAACAGGAUUAGAUACCCCCGUAC
rnacentral:rRNA from 1 species